AGUGAACGCUGGCGGUAGGCCUAACACAUGCGAGUCGAACUGCAGCACAGUAAGAGCUUGCUCUUACGGGUGGCGAGUGGCGGACGGGUGAGGAAUACAUCGGAAUCUACUUUUUCGUGGGGGAUAACGUAGGGAAACUUACGCUAAUACCGCAUACGACCUACGGGUGAAAGCAGGGGAUCUUCGGACCUUGCGCGAUUGAAUGAGCCGAUGUCGGAUUAGCUAGUUGGCGGGGUAAAGGCCCACCAAGGCGACGAUCCGUAGCUGGUCUGAGAGGAUGAUCAGCCACACUGGAACUGAGACACGGUCCAGACUCCUACGGGAGGCAGCAGUGGGGAAUAUUGGACAAUGGGCGCAAGCCUGAUCCAGCCAUACCGCGUGGGUGAAGAAGGCCUUCGGGUUGUAAAGCCCUUUUGUUGGGAAAGAAAAGCAGCAGGUUAAUACCCCGCUGUUCUGACGGUACCCAAAGAAUAAGCACCGGCUAACUUCGUG
rnacentral:rRNA from 1 species